GAAGCCCGGCGGAACAGAACGAAAGGACGAGGGGCGAUUGUCCCCAGCCCGGGGGCUUAGCCGCACAUCUCUUCCUCGAGCUGGACGCAGCGAGCUUUCACCUCCGUAUCCCCAACAGGGAGAGAGGAACCACCCCCGCACUGCUCUCCCCUGGUUCCAAAAUCUCACCCUCAUUGCAGGAGAGCGACCCUCACACAAAGCUGAGAGGGGCAUGAGAGCUGCAGCGAGGUUUGGCGGCCGGCAGAGUCACGUUACAAGGGCUGCAGAUUCUAAAGAAAAGGAGCGCGGUGCCAACUCAUUAGCUCCGAGGAGUCCCGUAGCGAAGGAGGAACUGGGAUCAGAGUGGGACACUGUCACCUUUCCUCUGGGGAGCGGACGCCCGUCUGAAAACAAGCGGGAGAGAAAUAGAUAGCGGCGCUGGGUGUAAUGUGAUUACACCUAAGAUUAUAAUUACGCCCCGACUGUCGACUAUUUGGAUCACUUGACUGAAUUUUCAUUAAGAAGAGCGCUCUAUCUGAUCCAGCGCGGGACCCGGCCGCAUUUGUCGGCUUUUGGGGUGCGGGCAGAGGCCGCUCCCCCCGCACUGCCCUCCGGGGCCGCCCGCCGCCAGGCCCCGCUCCUCCGAGCGCCCGUCCCGAGUGCGGCUCAUCAGCGCUGAUUUAUGAGCCUUGUUAAACACUCAUUAUGACUUUGCACCUUUUUUCAGCAGGGUCUGGAAAACAACC
rnacentral:lncRNA from 1 species